rnacentral:rRNA from 1 species
GAUGAACGCUGGCGGCGUGCCUAAUACAUGCAAGUCGAGCGAACAGACGAGGAGCUUGCUCCUUUGACGUUAGCGGCGGACGGGUGAGUAACACGUAGGUAACCUACCUAUAAGACUGGGAUAACUUCGGGAAACCGGAGCUAAUACCGGAUAAUAUUUCGAACCGCAUGGUUCGAUAGUGAAAGACGGCUUUGCUAUCCCUUAUAGAUGGACCUGCGCCGCAUUAGCUAGUUGGUAAGGUAACGGCUUACCAAGGCAACGAUACGUAGCCGACCUGAGAGGGUGAUCGGCCACACUGGAACUGAGACACGGUCCAGACUCCUACGGGAGGCAGCAGUAGGGAAUCUUCCGCAAUGGGCGAAAGCCUGACGGAGCAACGCCGCGUGAGUGAGGAAGGUCUUCGGAUCGUAAAACUCUGUUAUUAGGGAAGAACAAACGUGUAAGUAACUGUGCACGUCUUGACGGUACCUAAUCAGAAAGCCACGGCUAACUACGUG